rnacentral:lncRNA from 1 species
ACCAUGGCAGCGGCUGCAGCACCGGCGGCCGGGCGCUGGAGCUGGAGUCAGGGCGGGGGCAGGUGUGGGGGCUGUGGGCGGCGGAGGCGGGAGCCGUGAAUGGGGAUGAGACAGUGAGGACUGAGUGCCCUUACCACGUGCACAUGCCUGUGGAACUCAGACAAGGAGGUGGAACCUGUUGAUAUUCCUGCCCAGUGCUUCAGAUCUUCUCAAGGUUUUAUCCCCAGUGCAAUAGAAAGAUGGAAAUGGUGACAGUCUAAUGUAGUAAGCAGCAGGUACCAUGGUAUGUCAGUCAGGACUGAUUAAUGGGACUAGAGAAUCUCCCAGCGCUUCUGUCCUUCACCUGUCUGGAGUCUGAAGAAGAAAACGUCUGUUGCAGCAUCAGAGUGCGCUGCCCAUGGAGCAAACAGGAGCAGAGAUAGGAGGAGUGCUGCCCAGCUGGCAAUUAGCUGGCCACUGCCCCUCCCUAACUUCCCAGCCACUUGGUAAAGGCCAGCAGGAGUAGAACUCAUCUGGAGCUGAAGAGGGACAAGAGGCCCGUCUUACAGUUCAUCAGCCUUUCUCCCUCCCUCUGGCUGCCAUUGGAGCCUAGUAAAAGCUGAAAUUGUAGCCACCA